AGCAUUGUGCUUUAAGCAGCUCAUUAGGGUUAAGGGUUAAUUGGACCCUCAGAAAUUCACCAUGCGAAUUAAUAGGAAGACCCAUAUAGCCGCCACUGUACAGAGUUGGCAUAUGCUGAAAGAAACACUUUGAGAAGAAGACAAAUUACACUCUGGUUACUAACCGUGACAUUUCGUUGGAAGAUAUUUUGUUCUCGGUGAUUGGGCAUAGUGAUUUUGAAGCAUCGCCUGAUCUCAUUCUCACAGAGGAUAUCAAUGGGGUGAAUGCCGGUACUCAACCUAUUGAUGCACAUGGACAUGAUGACUCUCUAGCGUUUAUGGACCAACCAACCUGUAAUCAUGGACCUUAUUGUCUUGUAGACCAUUUGGUGUUUCGAGUGUUUUGGAGCUUGCACUUUGUGCAUGUAGAUACAAACUUUUGUGUUCUGGACCAUCUGAAGUCUCUCAUAGUAACCAAUAGUCCUUAUCUUUU